GAUGCGCUCAGUGGGGGAGCCAGGAAGUAUUGAUGUUUCUGCCAGUUUAGCGUCAACACUUGCUGGUUUCCUCUCUGGAGCAUC
rnacentral:pre_miRNA from 12 species